rnacentral:rRNA from 1 species
AGUCGAGGGGCAGCGGGGGUAGCAAUACCCGCCGGCGACCGGCGCACGGGUGAGUAACGCGUAUGCAACUUACCUAUCAGAGGGGGAUAACCCGGCGAAAGUCGGACUAAUACCGCAUGAAGCAGGGGCCCCGCAUGGGGAUAUUUGCUAAAGAUUCAUCGCUGAUAGAUAGGCAUGCGUUCCAUUAGGCAGUUGGCGGGGUAACGGCCCACCAAACCGACGAUGGAUAGGGGUUCUGAGAGGAAGGUCCCCCACAUUGGUACUGAGACACGGACCAAACUCCUACGGGAGGCAGCAGUGAGGAAUAUUGGUCAAUGGCCGAGAGGCUGAACCAGCCAAGUCGCGUGAGGGAUGAAGGUUCUAUGGAUCGUAAACCUCUUUUAUAAGGGAAUAAAGUGCGGGACGUGUCCCGUUUUGUAUGUACCUUAUGAAUAAGGAUCGGCUAACUCCGUGCCAGCAGCCGCGGUAAUACGGAGGAUCCGAGCGUUAUCCGGAUUUAUUGGGUUUAAAGGGUGCGUAGGCGGCCUUUUAAGUCAGCGGUGAAAGUCUGUGGCUCAACCAUAGAAUUGCCGUUGAAACUGGGAGGCUUGAGUAUGUUUGAGGCAGGCGGAAUGCGUGGUGUAGCGGUGAAAUGCAUAGAUAUCACGCAGAACCCCGAUUGCGAAGGCAGCCUGCCAAGCCAUGACUGACGCUGAUGCACGAAAGCGUGGGGAUCAAACAGGAUUAGAUACCCUGGUAGUCCACGCAGUAAACGAUGAUCACUAGCUGUUUGCGAUACAGUGUAAGCGGCACAGCGAAAGCGUUA